rnacentral:lncRNA from 1 species
AUCGGAGCAAAAUAAACCUUAAUGAUGCAUGUGCAGUAAUUACAGCUCGAGCUGGGUGUCUCCAAAGAGGGACCCCGAACAAAGAAAUCCCUGGGCAAUAAAACCCUUACAAUCUAAAUUCCCAACCUCAUGUGAUAGUUCGGACCAGGAACAUUUAGACCUGGGGUCUUCCCCUUCUUCACUGGGUCCCUUCGUUGUCUCUUAGGCAGGUUGCCUCUUUUCUUAUUUUCAAGAUUGCAGCUUCUGCUGUUGGUCAUAACUUCUCUAUCUUUCUGGCUUCAGCCACCUCUGGGGCCCUACUUAACUAGCUAGAAGUUCGUCAUAUGAUCUAAGCGCGGCCUAAGGCUUCAGAAGAUCUUGCUACCCAUGCUAAGCAAGUUUAUACAGUUAGUGUUAACACAAGCUUACAUCUCCUUAUGUUUGCAUAAGAAAGAAGGAUUAAUAAAUAAUACACUACUACAGCCUAAUGCUAGCAAUUAAACCUACCAACUGCAGUCCAAUAUUCUCUAAUAAAGUGACCUCACAACCACAAACAGCAGCCAUGCAACUAGACCUCACAACCACAAACAGCAGCCAUGCAACUAGCACUGGCCUAUCAGCCACUGAGCCACAAGUGACCUCACAACAACAAACACCAGCCACGUGACGAACACUGGCCUAUCAGGCACUGAGGCACAAGUGUCCUCACAACCACAAAAGGAGUCCUGUUCUUGAUGCUGUCUAAUCAGAUACUGAAGCAAAAGACACCUCACAAGUACAAAAAGGAGCAAUGUGGCUGCCAGUCUCCUAGCAGAUAGUGAGGCCAAAUGCCUCCACAAACACAAAGAGCAGCAAUAUGCAUCGAGCUGGACUGUCAGGUGCUGAGGCUCAAGUGACUUCACAGGCAGCCAUGAAGCCAUAUAGCUGCUCCUGGCCUCUUAGGCACUGAGGCACAACUGCCCUAAACCAGCACAAACAGCAGCAAUGUGCAUGCUGAUCACCAGUCACAUACUGAUGCACAACUGACCACAAAAGCACAAACAGCAGCAAUGGGCCUGCUCCCCGUUUAUGAGGUGUUGAGACACAA